UGACGGUACCUUGAUAAGAAGCACCGGCUAACUACGUGCCAGCAGCCGCGGUAAUACGUAGGGUGCGAGCGUUAAUCGGAAUUACUGGGCGUAAAGCGUGCGCAGGCGGUUUUGUAAGUCGGAUGUGAAAUCCCCGGGCUCAACCUGGGAACUGCGUUCGAAACUGCAAGGCUAGAGUGUGUCAGAGGGGGGUAGAAUUCCACGUGUAGCAGUGAAAUGCGUAGAGAUGUGGAGGAAUACCAAUGGCGAAGGCAGCCCCCUGGGAUAACACUGACGCUCAUGCACGAAAGCGUGGGGAGCAAACAGGAUUAGAUACCCUGGUAGUCCACGCCCUAAACNAUGUCAACUAGUUGUUGGUAGAGUAAAAUCUAUGAGUAACGUAGCUAACGCGUGAAGUUGACCGCCUGGGGAGUACGGUCGCAAGAUUAAAACUCAAANGAAUUGACG
rnacentral:rRNA from 1 species